rnacentral:lncRNA from 1 species
UUUUGACUAGCCCCACAAUUUUGGGAACGUAAACUACGUGAUUUCUUUUUUUUUUCUCGGACAAGUAAAGGGACGACUGGUUUUCCCGCUACCACCAACAAACACAGCUUUUGCGGUUGGUAGCGGUUGUCGACGGUCUGCAACAAUCACUCAAAUCGCUUUAAACGGCUUCAAACCGCUUUGAAUCUCAUAAAUUCAAAAGCUGGCUCCAGCUAGCGUUUGCGGUUGCGGGAGUGUAAAUUUUUUUUUCUUUUUUUAAAACAAUAUAUAUACAAAAGUAAAACAUUUUGAUAAAAAAUUUAAAAAUUGAAAUUAUG